rnacentral:rRNA from 1 species
AACGAACGCUGGCGGCGCGUCUUAAACAUGCAAGUCGAACGGCAGGAAGGGGCUUGCCCCUUCUGAGAGUGGCGGACUGGUGAGUAACACGUGGGUGACAUACCUUUUAGUUGGGGAUAGCUAUUAGAAAUAGUAGGUAAUACCGAAUGUGACCGUACCUGUUAGAGGGGUACGAGGAAAGGAGCUAAGGCUUCGCUAAAAGAAUGGCUCGCGGCCCAUUAUGCUCGUUGGUGAGGUAACGGCCCACCAAGGCGAUGAUGGGUAUCCGGCCUGAGAGGGUGAACGGACACAUUGGGACUGAGAUACGGCCCAGACUUCUACGGGAGGCAGCAGUUAAGAAUAUUCCGCAAUGGGCGAAAGUCUGACAGAGCGACGCCGCGUGGAUGAAGAAUGCCGAAAGGUUGUAAAAUCCUUUUAAGCCUGAUGAAUAAGCACAGUAGGGAAUGAUUGUGCGGUGACCGUAGGGCUUGAAUAAGCACCGGCUAAUUACGUG